UACGGGGGGAGCAAGCGUUGUUCGGAUUUACUGGGCGUAAAGGGCGCGUAGGCGGCGUGACAAGUCACUUGUGAAAUCUCCGGGCUUAACUCGGAGCGGCCAAGUGAUACUGUCGUGCUAGAGUGCGGAAGGGGCUACUGGAAUUCUCGGUGUAGCGGUGAAAUGCGUAGAUAUCGAGAGGAACACCCGCGGCGAAGGCGGGUAGCUGGGCCGACACUGACGCUGAGGCGCGAAAGCUAGGGGAGCGAACGGG
rnacentral:rRNA from 1 species